rnacentral:lncRNA from 1 species
CGUGCCUUUGGAAGAAUGACCAUCUUCUGGUGGUUGUAUCUUUCUUUUAGGUUAUUCCACAAUACUAAUAGAUCUUUUAUAGUAAAGUAUUCAACAUUUAAGCCUUCAUCAAUAUGAUGCCGAAGGAAAAUUAAAGAUUUCAUGUGAUCUUGCAGGGAUGCGGUAUUUCCUUCUUGAAUCGUGGUUCCAAGAUUCAUGGCAUUAAGAUGUAUUUCAGCAUCCAGAAU